rnacentral:rRNA from 1 species
CGACGCAACGCGAGAACCUUACCAGGCCUUGACAUACUCGGCAAAGCUCUAGAGAUAGAGUGGAGGUUAUCCGGGAUACAGGUGGUGCAUGUUGUCGUCAGCUCGUGUCGUGAGAUGUUGGGUUAAGUCCCGCAACGAGCGCAACCCUUGUCUUUAGUUACCAUCAUUCAGUUGGGGACUCUAGAGAGACUGCCGGUGAUAACCGGAGGAAGUGGGGAUGACGUCAAAUCAUCAUGCCCCUUAUGGCCUGGGCUACAAACGUAAUACAAUGGCGUAUACAAAGGGAUGCGAAAGGGCGACCUGGAGCAAAACUCACAAAGUACGUCUCAGUUCAGAUUGGAGUCUGCAACUCGACUCCAUGAAGGCGGAAUCGCUAGUAAUCGCGGAUCAGCAUGCCGCGGUGAAUACGUUCUCGGGGUUU